rnacentral:rRNA from 1 species
UGGAGAGUUUGAUCCUGGCUCAGAUUGAACGCUGGCGGCAUGCCUUACACAUGCAAGUCGAACGGUAACAGGUCUUCGGAUGCUGACGAGUGGCGAACGGGUGAGUAAUACAUCGGAACGUGCCCGAGAGUGGGGGAUAACGGAGCGAAAGCUUUGCUAAUACCGCAUACGAUCUACGGAUGAAAGCAGGGGACCGCAAGGCCUUGCGCUCAUGGAGCGGCCGAUGGCAGAUUAGGUAGUUGGUGGGAUAAAAGCUUACCAAGCCGACGAUCUGUAGCUGGUCUGAGAGGACGACCAGCCACACUGGGACUGAGACACGGCCCAGACUCCUACGGGAGGCAGCAGUGGGGAAUUUUGGACAAUGGGCGAAAGCCUGAUCCAGCCAUGCCGCGUGCAGGAUGAAGGCCUUCGGGUUGUAAACUGCUUUUGUACGGAACGAAAAGACUCUGGUUAAUACCUGGGGUCCAUGACGGUACCGUAAGAAUAAGCACCGGCUAACUACGUGCCAGCAGCCGCGGUA